UUUCCGGUUGAUCCUGCCGGAGGCCACUGCUAUCGGAGUCCGACUAAGCCAUGCGAGUCUUGGUAGGCUUUGCCUACCGGCGGACGGCUCAGUAACACGUGGACAACCUGCCCUCGGGAGGGGGAUAACCCCGGGAAACUGGGAAUAAACCCCCAUAGGUCACGGAUGCUGGAAGGCGCCGUGACCGAAAUUCCGAAAGGAGCCCGAGGAUGGGUCUGCGGCCUAUCAGGUUGUAGUGGGGGUAACGGCCCCACUAGCCUACGACGGGUACGGGCCCUGAGAGGGGGAGCCCGGAGAUGGACUCUGAGACACGAGUCCAGGCCCUACGGGGCGCAGCAGGCGCGAAAACUCCGCAAUGCUCGAAAGAGCGACGGGGGGACUCCGAGUGCCUACGCUUUGCGUAGGCUUUUCCCGAGCCUACAAAGCUCGGGGAAUAAGGGCUGGGUAAGACGGGUGCCAGCCGCCGCGGUAAUACCCGCAGCUCGAGUGGUGGCCACUUUUAUUGGGCCUAAAGCGUCCGUAGCCGGUCUGGUAAAUGCCUGGGUAAAUCGUAGGGCUUAACCCUACGGCUCCCAGGUAGACUGCCAGACUUGGGACCGGAGGAGGGAGAGGGUACUCCAGGGGUAGGGGUGAAAUCAGCAAGGUGAGUUGCUGAGGUAACUUGCCUUGCAAGUCACAAUCCUGUAAUCCCUGGAGGACCACCGGUGGCGAAGGCGCUCUCCUAGGACGGGUCCGACGGUGAGGGACGAAAGCCAGGGGAGCAAACCGGAUUAGAUACCCGGGUAGUCCUGGCCGUAAACGAUGUGGACUUGGUAUUGGGAUGGCUACGAGCUGUCCCAGUGUCGUAGGGAAGCCGUUAAGUCCACCGCCUGGGGAGUACGGUCGCAAGGCUGAAACUUAAAGGAAUUGGCGGGGGAGCACUGCAACGGGAGGAGCGUGCGGUCUAAUUGGAUUCAACGCCGGGA
rnacentral:rRNA from 1 species